UACAGGGGGGGCAAGCGUUGUCCGGAUUUAUUGGGCGUAAAGAGCGUGUAGGCGGCUUGGUAGGUCCGCUGUGAAAACUCGAGGCUCAACCUCGAGAUGUCGGCGGAAACCACUUGGCUAGAGUCCGGAAGAGGAGAGUGGAAUUCCUGGUGUAGCGGUGAAAUGCGCAGAUAUCAGGAAGAACACCUAUGGCGAAGGCAGCUCUCUGGGACGGUACUGACGCUGAGACGCGAAAGCGUGGGGAGCGAACAGG
rnacentral:rRNA from 1 species